UGGAGGAUAAAAUGGUCAUGUGCAUCAAACCAUUGGAGGAGGGGUGGGGUGCAUCUCUUGCUGCCAUUUUAUUUAGUUGUUUUUAUUAUGGUGUAAUAAAAAAGUGUAAGGGACCAAUUUUGGCCCAAAAACACUAAGUGUGGUUAUUUUGUGUGUUUAAUCCAUUUUAAAGCUUCCAAAGCUUUAAAUGAAAUGUUUUGUGUGUUUAUUUCGUGCAAAGAAGUGCUGAAGACAA
rnacentral:lncRNA from 1 species